rfam:Oreochromis niloticus linkage group LG13, whole genome shotgun sequence.
CUUGGCUAUGGAGACAUGUACCCUCAGACGACCUCCGGUAUGCUGGUUGGAGCUCUGUGCGCCCUGGCAGGUGUGCUGACCAUCGCCAUGCCCGUCCCCGUGAUUGUCAACAAC